rnacentral:rRNA from 1 species
GCGGCGUGCUUAACACAUGCAAGUCGAACGAUGAUGGGAGCUUGCUCCUGGAUUAGUGGCGAACGGGUGAGUAACACGUGAGUAACCUGCCCUUAACUCUGGGAUAAGCCUGGGAAACUGGGUCUAAUACCGGAUAUGACUCCUCAUCGCAUGGUGGGGGGUGGAAAGCUUUAUUGUGGUUUUGGAUGGACUCGCGGCCUAUCAGCUUGUUGGUGAGGUAAUGGCUUACCAAGGCGACGACGGGUAGCCGGCCUGAGAGGGUGACCGGCCACACUGGGACUGAGACACGGCCCAGACUCCUACGGGAGGCAGCAGUGGGGAAUAUUGCACAAUGGGCGCAAGCCUGAUGCAGCGACGCCGCGUGAGGGAUGACGGCCUUCGGGUUGUAAACCUCUUUCAGUAGGGAAGAAGCGAAAGUGACGGUACCUGCAGAAGAAGCGCCGGCUAACUACGUGCCAGCAGCCGCGGUAAUACGUAGGGCGCAAGCGUUAUCCGGAAUUAUUGGGCGUAAAGAGCUCGUAGGCGGUUUGUCGCGUCUGCCGUGAAAGUCCGGGGCUCAACUCCGGAUCUGCGGUGGGUACGGGCAGACUAGAGUGAUGUAGGGGAGACUGGAAUUCCUGGUGUAGCGGUGAAAUGCGCAGAUAUCAGGAGGAACACCGAUGGCGAAGGCAGGUCUCUGGGCAUUAACUGACGCUGAGGAGCGAAAGCAUGGGGAGCGAACA